AGUGGGUGACUGUGCUAAAGGAGGCUGCACUGGGGGACACUGGAGGCUGCACUGGGGGACACUGGAGGCUGCACUGGGGGACACUGGAGGCUGCACUGGGGGACACUGGAGGCUGCACUGGGGGACACUGGAGGCUGCACUGGGGAAAGCAGAGCUGCAGGAGACUGCGCUAGAGACUGCAGUGAUGGUUGUAGUGGAGGUGUGACGGGUGGAGGAGUGGCUGAAGUGGCUGCGGGUCGGGCGGCUAAUGGCUCGGCUACAGAGUGCCUUAAUGGCAGGGCUAUGGGUUGAAUGACUGACUGAGUAGCAGCCUGAAUGGCUGGGUGUAGUGACGGUUGUGGUGGAAGAGAAACAGGUGGUAGUGUGGAUGAUGGAGCUAAGGGCGACUGAGUGGCAGACCGAACUGAUGACUGAAGCGAUGGUAGAGGUGAAAAUGGAGCUUGUGGUGGAGUUAAUGACUGUGCUAGCGGGGACACAGGAGACACAGCUUGUAGCUGGGCAGCUAAGAGAGCUUCAGGAGGCUGGGCAGCUAAGAGAGCUUCAGGAGGCUGGGCAGCUAAGAGAGCUUCAGGAGGCUGGGCAGCUAAUAAACUGUUCACAUAACCAUCCGUAGCACAAAACACAACCCCUGAACGAAUAGUCCCACGGUUCGACACAGAAAAAGAGUCCUUAUUCACCACAGCCGGCGAUGUAAAAAUCCGAACGUCCGGCUGUGGGGUGGCGCGCCCGCGGCGUGAUCGACGCUUCUUCCCCGCAGAUGGCUCCAAAGGGCCGGGCAAAACCACAUCCGGCCGGUGAAACUGACGCGGCUGCUCCAGGGUGGCUGUUGUCUGUUGCUGCUGGGCCAAGUCUGAUAUUUCCCGAGUUCGCGCCGCCUCCCGGGCUUCAUUCAAAUUGGCCAAUAAGUCCAAACAUCCUCUGACCUGGCGGAGAUGAGAAUUUCCUUUGAGGAUUGCUUCGAUAGCAUUUAUCCCCACAAUCUUUGCCCUUGUAUUGGAAGUGUGGGUUAUCCACUCGACUAGGCGUUGGACACGUAUCAGAUCGCUCUCCCCGGGUAAGUCUGCUGGGUCCAUGUUGUGGUGACGUCGUACUGUCAUGAAUCGCUGUGCGGCAGGCAGGAGUUGGACCCAAAAUGCAGGACUCACAGACUCGGGGAGGUGAACUCAAAACACAGCUUUAUUUGCUGGUAGAACAAACAUACAAACUAGACUAAACUGGGAAACCAUAAACUAAGCACACACAGGGAGAUCCACACACAGCAUGAGGGACGACGUCACGCCGAACAGAGGGAGACGCAGACAGAAAUACACAGAGGGUUAACGAGGAAAGUGGGAACACACGGGGAACACAGUUGACACUGAUAAUCAUAACGAGACAGGGCGGGGUGAACUGAACAUGACAUGUACGGGCGUGAGAGUCACAAAGUAAACAGGAAGUGCACAGAGGUUCAGACAGGAGGAGAGAGAGCACGGGGAAAACACAGACAUAACGGGCUGGGGAAACAUGAAACAACCACAAAGGGAGACGAGGGCUC
ensembl:lncRNA